GCCCCACGUUCGGAUUGCAGGCUGCAACCCGCCUGCAUGAAGCCGGAAUCGCUAGUAAUCGCGGAUCAGAAUGCCGCGGUGAAUACGUUCCCGGGUCUUGUACACACCGCCCGUCACACCAUGGGAGUCGGGAAUGCCCGAAGUCAGUGGCCCAACCGGAAGGGGGGAGCUGCCGAAGGCAGGCCCGGUGACUGGGGUGAAGUCGUAACAAGGUACC
rnacentral:rRNA from 1 species